rnacentral:tRNA from 1 species
GGCCCCAUCGUCUAGCCUGGUCUAGGACACCACGCUUUCAAUGUGGGAACAUGGGUUCAAAUCCCAUUGGGGCCA